rnacentral:rRNA from 1 species
GACGAACGCUGGCGGCGUGCUUAACACAUGCAAGUCGAACGGAAAGGCCCUGCUUUUGUGGGGUGCUCGAGUGGCGAACGGGUGAGUAACACGUGAGUAACCUGCCCUUGACUUUGGGAUAACUUCAGGAAACUGGGGCUAAUACCGGAUAGGAGCUCCUGCUGCAUGGUGGGGGUUGGAAAGUUUCGGCGGUUGGGGAUGGACUCGCGGCUUAUCAGCUUGUUGGUGGGGUAGUGGCUUACCAAGGCUUUGACGGGUAGCCGGCCUGAGAGGGUGACCGGACAGAUGGGGAGGGAGAUAAGGCCGGGAGGACUGCGGGAGGCAGCAGGGGGGAAGGGUGAAGGAUGGGCGGAAGCCUGAUGCAGGAACGCGGCGUGAGGGAUGACGGCGGGCGGGUUGUAGAACGCUUUCGCCGGUGACGAAGGGGGAGGGACGGUGAUGGGUAAAGAAGCACAGGCUAACUAAGUG